UACAGAGGGUGCAAGCGUUAAUCGGAAUUACUGGGCGUAAAGCGUGCGCAGACGGUUGCGUAAGUCAGAUGUGAAAGCCCCGGGCUCAACCUGGGAAUUGCAUUUGAGACUGCGUAGCUAGGGUGCGGAAGAGGGAAGCGGAAUUUCCGGUGUAGCGGUGAAAUGCGUAGAUAUCGGAAGGAACACCAGUGGCGAAAGGCGGCCAACUGGACGAAUACUGACGCUGAGGACUCGAAAAGCGGGG
rnacentral:rRNA from 1 species